ACAGAGGGGGUAAGCGUUGUUCGGAAUUACUGGGCGUAAAGGGCGCGUAGGCGGCCUUCUAAGUCGAACGUGAAAUCCCUGGGCUCAACCCAGGAACUGCGUCCGAUACUGGAAGGCUUGAAUCCGGGAGAGGGAUGCGGAAUUCCAGGUGUAGCGGUGAAAUGCGUAGAUAUCUGGAGGAAUACCGGUGGCGAAGGCGGCGUUCUGGACCAUUACUGACACUGAAUCGCGAAAGCUAGGGGAGCAAACGGGA
rnacentral:rRNA from 1 species